rnacentral:lncRNA from 1 species
GAAGCAUUUUUUUAGUUGAAAAUAUGGUUACCACACUGAGAAAUUGAAAAAAUAAUCAUAUUUGUAUGUUGGUACCAAGCUUUUAUACAGAAAUUAAAAUAAACUACAUGCCUAAUAUGACCAUUCCAUAGACUGAGAAUAUACCAGGAAAGACACCAAAGCACACAUGCAAAGAGGGAAACUGCAUACAUUCAGAUUAUCACAGUGAGCAACUAAGAUUGCUUAUGGCCACCAGAAGUUCUCUAAGUGGCCGAAAAGCCCUAUGGAAGUGGCAUGUGGGCACGUCAGCAGAUCCGAGCAGCCUUCCUCACUGGCCGGUUGGUGCUACUACUGAUUUCGUCCUCCUGUUGACGAAGACAAUGAUGCAGUAGUCCAAUACAUAUGAAAGCAAGUGGUUUCAUCAUGAAGCAUAUUGACAUGGUGUGCAGAUUUGGUUUUCUGAAAUAAGGCAUGAGCAAUUAACAAAAAAAUCAUCGCAGAUGGCCAGAGAUAUGAAUGCAAACAUGUUAUAAUCACCUUCUUAAAGCAUGCAAACCAGUAAUAUAGGUAACAAACCGUGAGUUCAGUAAGAUUUUGGACACGAAAUGUUAUUUACAUAGCAGGAAAAAGCUUUUGUUGUACAAAACACAGUGUCACAAAAAUAUAUCCCAAUAAGAAGCUUGCUUAUUUUCACAUGGCCUGUUUAUAUUUCUGGUAACUAAAACAACAUGGCAUGAGCAAGAAAAUAAGAGAAUAAAGCUAUAACUAGAUUGUUCAAGAAACCUCUAUAGCUUGCAUAUACACCAAUGAAAGGUAGUAAAAAAGAAGGCACUCAGCAACCACAAUUCAGAUUAGAAGUGCACCUAACCAACGGGAUCAUGGUAUUCAACAUUGAUAUUUCUUUACAAACCAGGUUAGAACCACAUUUAACUGAAGAAAGUCAUGUUAAUGGAGCAAUAAAGCCUUUACAAACAUGGAUAUGAACCAAUGGCACAUGAGCACUCAAUCAAGCAUGAAACAAACCAGCAGGAUAUUGCGGUAUAAACUGUAUUAAAACCACAUUUUUUACAAUGAGAUCCAAAGGAAAACCCCACAAACUGGCUAGCAAUCAGAACAAAUCUAACCUUGCCUCGGCCGUGGACCAAAACAACCAAAACAUGGGGCAGCGGAGCAGUGACGACACCAUCCAUCCAUGUAUCACUGAUGACACUUGAAAACUGAAACGACCCUGAUAAACAGAGUGUCCGGGUGGUAAGGAUGAGAUAGGUUCAUUAUCAUAUUUUUCAGGUUUUAGAGCAUAUUCUAAGAUAAGAGCAUCCAUCUUGUCAUUGUUAAUUAAUGGUUAGUGUAUUUGCAAGUAAAAUUGUUGAAGCCUGAGGUGUAUAACUAUAUAGGAGAAUUUUGGUAGAUCCAGAUUGGCCGGUAUUGCAUUUGAAAUACGCUAGGUGUAGUAGUUUAAGGCACCAUCAUCAAGAUAACAUCAUUCAUGUGUUCUCUGGUCUCUUUGCCAUCAAAUUAUAUGCAUGGGUUUUCUAGUGCGUCUAUAUUUGUAUCUCAAAUGUUGAUGCUCUACCUGAUCACAACAAUUGCUUUAAUCUAAACUAAUGAUAACCUUGCAUGUCAUCUAAGGAAGAAGAGUGAAGCGGAUACGCAUAAGAAUGCCUACCAUUUACAGAUAUGUAUCAAAAACAAAAGCAUGAGUGAUAGUGAUAGGGACGCAUACAAAAGCUAUGACUCAAUCCUUGGCACAAGUUCCCGAUUUAAAUCAAGUGUUAUUUGCAUAGCAAAGGACUUUAUUUUCAUAUACAAUUAUUAUAUAUCAAUCUUUAAUGUGGCAGAACCAUAAAUCAGAACAUAACGCCAAUUAGUGUGCAUUUCAGCCACCUUCAGCAUUGUAAAUCAAGAUAAACAGUGGAGACCAAGAUAAACAAUAAGAAACGCCAAAAUACUAAUCAUCAACUUAGUGUUUUGUUAAUUGUUCUAUACCAAGCAUCAAUGGUAUUUACACUCUUAUCAUAACUGAUAAAAAAAGAUGCAUCCUUGGACAUGCUUAUUAGUUUUACGCUCAAAUAGAACUUAUUAGGCCAAUAAACCAUACAGUGUGAUCUCUUAGGUACUUAACAACCUCUCAUAGGUUAAUCAGAAACUCUUUUAUUGAUUUAGAUGUAGUAACCAAGUCAAUGUGUACCUUUUGGCAAGUUCGUGCACUAUUGCAUCAGCUUUGAGGUCCAACAAUCAAAAAAAUCCCAAGCACAUGAAUUGAGCGAACGCCUGACAGAACAAAGGAAUAGUGAGUGUUAUCUAUACAAAAACUAAGACAAUGAAGUAGGAUGGAUAAUUAUUUACAACAGAAGAAAGGGUGGAGUAUGAUAUCUCUACUCGACUCUGAAUUAGCAAAAUAAGAAGACAUGGAAAGGCACUUGAAAAACAUCAUAGCGAAGUUCUUGGGCCACAUGAAAAAACAUUCCGAUGAAAAAAAUAGAGUCCUCAAAGUGAGAAUUAAUCUAUCCAAUCUACAUGUAAGAUUACAGUUUUGAUCUACACAACUAAACCCAAAUCAAUAAUAUAAACCUAAAUGCAAAGACUUUGGAUGACAAAAAGGCGUGCAUAUCUGAACGAAAAUGGGGUUCUUCAUAACUUCAAACCACCCUUGCAUGCUUUGGUUCGAUACUCAGCCACUGGCAGGCCCAAAGAUUCUAAAAGGACAUCCAGCACCAUUUUGUAGGGGAUAUUCACCAUUGGGGGAGUAGCCUGUGGUUUAAAAUGGAUGCUAUUAAUUGGCAGAGUAUGAAAAGAAUGUAAGGCAUAGCCUAAAACGGCCUAUUUAUUUGACACCCAAAACAUAGAGUAACUGGAAUCCUAUGGUUAAACCAUGCCUGCUAGGCUGCUACAGCAUAGAAAGAAAAGAAAACACACAUAGAUCACCAAUUAGAAGGGCUCCCUGCACACCAAACAAUGGUCUGUACAAGUAAUUGCACUAAUACAAUAGAUAUCAAACUAAUGGUGUGCAUUAGGUACAGAGGUAUCCUCUUGUGAUGUUGAGAAGGGAAUGGCAAUGGUUGAAUAUCUACUGAUGAAUGGCACCACCUCCAAUCCAUGUCUUUCCAUGACAAUGAAAAGGGAACGGGAAUGCUUACAUGGUACGGGGGCAUUUGCGCUACAGAAAUCUUGCAUAGAUGUGUUUAGAGAGAGAGAGAUGAAGAGCGAUGGGGAAGCUCAUCUUGGCGCCUCCCCAAAAUCCACCUGUGGUCGCCUGUCCCCAUUACCCACGCCAGGCACCAAAUCAAGCAAAGGAACAAAAGAAUCCUCUAUAAAGAGAAAAGGAGCUCCAAGACAAAUCUAUCCCCUUCUCGACGAGGAAAGAUCUAGGUACCAAACAAACUAAGAAAGCCGACAAAAAACUUCUAGGAAUAUAGCUAGAUCCGAGAGCAUCUCCUGGGCAGUAACAAACAAAAAUCCACUUUGCAGAAACUAAGCUGAGGUACCCAACAAAUUUAAAAAGAGGACAAAAUUUCUAUAUGAAAGCCCAGCUAGAUCCGAGCAUCUGGUCAACUGAAGAAACAAAAAGAUUCCCCUUUGUAGGAACCUAGCUAGACAUGAACAUUUCCUUGACAAGAAGAGUGAAGAAUCUCACCCAAUAGAAGAACUGGAGCAUGGACCUGGCGUAAUCACCGCGCAUCCUUGGGUUCGCUGCUAGGAUGCUCGUUUUCGUCGGGGUCUCCUAUCCUCCCUCGAAAUCGAACGGUGGUUGAGCACCAUGGAAGGGUCCUUUUCAAAUUGCCACAGAAAAAGCGGUACAAAAUGGAGUCAGCUCAUAAAUACAUUUGUGGGCAGAAACAUAUAUACAUAGAUGGAACACAUAAAGAUAAGGAAUGCAUCUAUCAAGUACAUGGAACCCCAUAUCACUGCCAAACAUGAAGAAACAUUAAUAAACAAGGAGAGAAGUGAUGUAC